rnacentral:misc_RNA from 1 species
AUCAAAUCUAAUUUGAUAUUGAAAAGUCGUCGCUUUGCGGCGGCUUUUUAUAUUACAUAAAGUGCUUCACUCCCAGUUAAAUUAGUAUGAAACAUGGUUAAAAGGUGCCAAAUCGUUUGGAUUCCAGUUCGUCAGCAAGGUUCGUCCUAUUCCAACUUACGGGGCCGGGUGACAAUUGCUGGAACGUAGCCGACGUCGAUUUGGGCUUACGCAGCAACCCACUGCGCAAUCUCAAAUGCGAGUCUUAUUCUAGGCUGGAAGCAGACCACUUCCAGCCUAGAAUAAUUUGGUUACUGAGCAUUGUCACCCAACCCCUCCAGUCGGUAAGCCGGUCGAAUGGCUGAUGAACGACCACCUAACUUGGUGCAACUUGUCGCUGAACGGGUUUACUACUUAGAAUUUUGAACAUGCGUUAAUGCUGUCUCAUUGUUUGGGAUACCUCAGUACUAAUACGGUGGAGUUAGAAAUAAUCGUACAAUCACAAUUAUAUUAUCAAACUAACUGUUGUAUGAUAAAAUUGUUGUCUCUAAAAUAGCAACAUCUAAUUCAUUCAAUGCUGGGUCUACCUAUGUCGGCCAUUCGAAUACUAUCACGACUGGAAGGCGUUUCGGCCAAUGCUCAGCGGUGAAAUUCCACUUAGCAAGCGUUUUUGGCUUGGUUAGUGGAAGACCAGUAUUUAAGACGUGGUCUUCGGCUUAAAUCUGUGUCCACCGCGUUCCAGCAAUUGGCCGAAAUGCCUGGAAGUCGGUAUAGGACGCCGCUAGCUAAGUAAAUUUACGCUAAGUAGAUCUUUUUCCAGCGGGCUUAAGCUGGAUCACUUGACGUUGACGAUUUGGCACCUUUUAAUCAUGUUCC